GACAAGGGACCUUUAUCAGCUUGAACUUCAUCUCCGCCCCAGAAAAGCUGCACCCGGCCCAGCCCUGCCAGAGGAAACUUCCAGAAGGUCUUCAUUUGGGGACUUGGAGCUUCCAGUGGCUGCACUCUCAUCCCAGUUGGAACUUUAUCCCCAGGCCUGCUUAUCUCCAGCCUGAAGUGAUUUGGCUGCAGCUUCCCCUGUGGAUGUCAGUGCCUUCCUGCCUGCAGGAUUAAGGGAUCCAUUCCAAUCUCUCCAAUUGGCAGGAGGAUCCCUCAUUCCCAGGAAACUCCCGAGACAGGAGUUCUGAGGUGGGAAGUUGAGGAUUCCUAAGAUCAACGGAGCAGGCCUGGAAUCCCCCAGGGACUGAGGAAACACCAAGAGCCGGGAAUUGAAUAACUCCGGGAGCGGGCUGAAGGAGAAAACGGGAUCAGCAGCUUUCCAAGGUCCCCAGCUGCUCCAGAUGUGCUGGAACUGCAGCCGAGCUCAUCCCGAGAGCGCCGCUGGACGCAGCCCUGGACACGGGUGGUCCCGGCCCCGCAGAGCCUUUGAUGUGCACGCCCAGGAGCUGGGAUGUCCCUGUGCUCCGUGGCCUCCACGAGGUGCUGGAGUGGGAUCCGCGAGGGGGAUUCAGUGAUGGGGACAAACCUGGGAGGAAAAGCCCUCAGAGCUCCUCGGGGAGUGAUUCCCAAAGAAUCCUGGCAGGAAUGGUCUGGACUUGCUCCGAGGUGAGCCGGGAGUUCCUCCUGGGAGUAAGGAGAGAACAAACCCUGCCAAUCCUUUAAAAGCCGAUUUGCACACGCCUUGAACCGGGAAAGCAACAUCUGCUCGGCUCAAUCCAGGUGUUUUAUGUCCCUGUCAUUAAUUGGAGGGGACAUUAUGUCAUCAUACAUCAACGGGGAAAGUUGGUUAAAGUGCCACUUACCUCCGGGGCUGCCGUUAAUCAGCUCCCUUUCAGCGGGAGCAGUGACACCUUGGAAUGUUUUCCUUCUCCUUUCCAGGUGCUCUGGAAUGAGCAGCGUGGAAAUCUCCCACACACACACACACGGUGGUCACUGAGGGGUUUGAAUUGGGAGGGAUUUUAAGGAUCAUCUCUGCCAGGGUGGGGACACCUGGCCUGGAAUGCUCCUGGGACACCUCGGCAGCCGUGGCCCGUCC